rnacentral:rRNA from 1 species
UUUAUCAGAAAGAUGAACGGAUUAGGGGCACACGCUCACGCGUGGCCGCUGUAGCAUCCUUCCCAGCGAGCUUUUGGAAGCCUAUGCACCCCUUCCAAGGGGCCCCAACGACGAUAAAGAAGGGGAGCGCAAGUAGCCCGCGAGAGAGGGCUGCUACAUAAUCGAAUUGCGGGGACGUCCUAAAGCCUGACAGUACCAACUGCCCGCGGAAACGCGGGGAGGGCCUCUGCUAAUCGCAGAGGGGGGUAAGAACCUGUCAGGAUGUACAAUGGAUAAUCCGCAGCGAAGCUCCUACGGGCCACCACCGGCCUAUGGAGAACGUUCACAGACUAGGUGGUUGUGGGUAGAGUCUCUCUGCUUAAGAUAUAGUCGGUCGGUCAGGGAAACCUGACCGCUAAUUCGCAAGAACGAACGUUCCGUAGGUGAACCUGCGGAAGGAUCAUUA